rnacentral:tRNA from 1 species
AGGGUUGUAGUUAAUUAUAACAUUUGAAUUGCACUCAAAAAGUAUUGAAUAUCAAUCUACCUUG